UUUUCCUACGGGAGGCAGCAGUAGGGAAUCUUCCACAAUGGACGAAAGUCUGAUGGAGCAACGCCGCGUGAGUGAAGAAGGGUUUCGGCUCGUAAAGCUCUGUUGGUAGUGAAGAAAGAUAGAGGUAGUAACUGGCCUUUAUUUGACGGUAAUUACUUAGAAAGUCACGGCUAACUACGUGCCAGCAGCCGCGGUAAUACGUAGGGGGCAAGCGUUAUCCGGGAUGAUUUGGGGGAA
rnacentral:rRNA from 1 species